GACGAACGCUGGCGGCGUGCCUAAUACAUGCAAGUAGAACGCACAGUUUAUACCGUAGCUUGCUACACCAUAGACUGUGAGUUGCGAACGGGUGAGUAACGCGUAGGUAACCUGCCUGGUAGCGGGGGAUAACUAUUGGAAACGAUAGCUAAUACCGCAUAAUAUUAAUUAUUGCAUGAUAAUUAAUUGAAAGGUGCAAUUGCACCACUACCAGAUUGACCUGCGUUGUAUUAGCUAGUAGGUGAGGUAACGGCGCACCUAGGCGACGAUACAUAGCCGACCGGAGAGGGUGAUCGGCCACACUGGGACUGAGACACGGCCCAGACUCCUACGGGAGGCAGCAGUAGGGAAUCUUCGGCAAUGGACGAAAGUCUGACCGAGCAACGCCGCGUGAGUGAAGAAGGUUUUCGGAUCGUAAAGCUCUGUUGUAAGAGAAGAACGGGUGUGAGAGUGGAAAGUUCACACUGUGACGGUAUCUUACCAGAAAGGGACGGCUAACUACGUG
rnacentral:rRNA from 1 species